AGAUCUUCUGCCUUAGGAUGAAAAGGCUGUUGUUCUAAGUAACUGGUUUGAACCCAAGAUGUUGGCUAUCAGACAGAAACUGAAAAGUGGAUGGAUGCUAUGGGCUACAAGUGAUGCCAACCUUAAAAUUGCAGCAGUCCUCAAGGCACUUUGCAUCUUUCUUGGAGAGGAUGAUGGACAUUUCAUUCGGGAGUACAUGGACAUCCAAGGAGAUUAUAUCAUACAGACACAUUCCAUGGGCAUCUUUGUCAUCAACAAGGAGGGUGAAGAAGCUGGAUAUUAUGAUGAUAUUGGCAUUUUUGUUGAGGGAGUCGUCAUUCCGGAC